rnacentral:misc_RNA from 1 species
GAUGAAGAACGUAGCGAAAUGCGAUAAGUAAUGUGAAUUGCAGAAUUCAGUGAAUCAUCGAGUCUUUGAACGCACAUUGCGCCCCCUGGUAUUCCGGGGGGCAUGCCUGUCCGAGCGUCAUUGCUGCCCUCAAGCACGGCUUUUGUGUUGGGCCCCCGCCCCCCGGCUUCGGGGGGCGGGCCCGAAAGGCAGCGGCGGCACCGCGUCCGGUCCUCGAGCGUAUGGGGCUUCGUCACCCGCUCUGUAGGCCCGGCCGGCGCCCGCCGGCGACCCCAAUCAAUCUUUCCAGGUUGACCUCGGAUCAGGUAGGGAUACCCGCUGAACUUAAGCAUAUCAAUAAGCGGAGGA